GUGCAGCAGUCGAGAAACUUCACAAUGUGCGAAAGCACGAUGAGGGAAUCCCAAGUGCUUGCACGUAAGUGUAAGCUGUUUCUCUGUCUAAAACGCAGAGAGAGUAAGGGCUGGGUAAGACGGGUGCCAGCCGCCGCGGUAAUACCUGCAGCUCGAGUGGUGACCGUUAUUAUUGGGCCUAAAACGUCCGUAGCCGGUUUAAUAAAUGCCUGGGUAAAUCGGACCGCUUAACGGUUCGAAUUCCGGGUAGACUGUUAAACUUGAGACCGGGAGAAGUUAGAGGUACUCCUGAGGUAGAGGUGAAAUUCUGUAAUCCUAGGGGGACCACCAGUGGCGAAGGCGUCUAACUAGAACGGGUCUGACGGUGAGGGACGAAGCCCUGGGGCGCAAACGGGAUUAGAUACCCCUGU
rnacentral:rRNA from 1 species